rnacentral:rRNA from 1 species
AUUGAACGCUGGCGGCAGGCCUAACACAUGCAAGUCGAACGAGUGGCGGACGGGCGAGUAAUGUAUGGGAAACUGCCCGAUGGAGGGGGAUAACUACUGGAAACGGUAGCUAAUACCGCAUACCAUCGGAUGUACCCAUAUGGGAUUAGCUAGUGGGGGGGGUAAAGGCUCACCUAGGCUACGAUCCCUAGCUGGUCUGAGAGGAUGACCAGCCACACUGGGACUGAGACACGUCCCAGGCUCCUACGGGAGGCAGCAGUGGGGAAUAUUGCACAAUGGGCGCAAGCCUGAUGCAGCCAUGCCGCGUGUAUGAAGAAGGCCUUCGGGUUGUAAAGUACUUUCGGCGGGGAGGCGUUACCCGCAGAAGAAGCACCGGCUAACUCCGUGCCAGCAGCCGCGGUAAUAC